UUUAAAUUAUUCAAAAAUAAACACAAAUUGGAGCUGGAUCGGCUCCACUUGCGCUAUCGGGGAACCCGAAACUCAACACGACAUCAAGUGCAAUCAUAAACAAGCGCAGUUCGCAGCAACAACAGCAUUUCUCGCUGGCCAUUUGCAAAAAAAAUGCGCAACAGUUGCAUGUGGCAGCCGCCAGUGGCAACAACAACGACAGCAACAGCAACACCAACACAAAACAAACAAUUGUCCUUUCUCCGGCCCUAAAAUCCGCACCCAACCCCCUGCGGCCACCCAAUUUACUGCCGGCAUUUUGGGAGCACCAACCCACCCACCGGAAACCGAAAAUCCUGCGCAUGUGCCCACAGCAGAGCCGAGUCCUCUUUUCGUAGCCAAUUCGUGGAAAUGAGCACCGGAGUCAAGGACUCCCGACGUAGGACUUUUCGUCGGUCUUCAGUCGCUCGCCACUAUUCGAAACACACGGUCGUCGAGGACUUUCCACCGCCGGAAAACUGUGGAAAACAGCGUGCGUGCGUGAGUGUGUGCGUGUGCUUCGUGGGAAAAAGCGAAAUUCUCCGUCCAAACAACAGCAAACAACACAAGCGUAGCUUCGUGGUUCCUGCGAGGUUCGCGUACCGCAAAACCGAAUCAUUAAUAAGGAAAAGCCCGGCCGUCGACAAAAUUGUUUCGCGUUGCCCCUGCAUGUUGACACGGCUUAAAUGGGGCAUUAAGUGCUCGGAGUUCAGUGCUGAUAUAUGCAAUUUCCGCUAAUCACAAGUGCAAUAAUACCACACGAUUCCGCAUCAGUGUGAUGCCAACUGGCCAGCAGAACUAAAAGGAUUAAGCUCCGGAUUCACAUCAGCCAGCCCAGUGUUCCGGAUCGGUCGACAGGCGUAAAGCUGAUUGCCCGGUGAUAUAAGAACUGUGGAUAAACGAGGAAGAAAUCGGAGGAGGAAGGCCUCUGGAGCAAGGAACAUGGAGUGACCAGCAGC
rnacentral:sRNA from 1 species